GCAUGGGGACAUUUAAUCUGUGGUGCCACUACUGAAGGUGUUCUAGAAAGGCAUUCUUCUAAUAGGGGGAGGAGCCUCUUCUGUGCCUGCUACAGACGUCAUGUGGCACAGAUCGUUCUGAACAGCACUGAUACCUCUGCACCAGGAAUGCAGGGGAACCGGUUUCACACAGACCACAGGUAUAGCCAUAAGCCAUGUGAUGGCGUUCAUGGCAUUGACUUCUCUCUUGCACAUACACACACACACACAGCAGCACUGUAACCUGUGGAUCCUUCUACUGUAUUAGAAUAGGCUGAAUACAUGUAUGUGUGCCCAUACAGCAGUGUGUUUUUGGCAGAAAGAAAUGGUAGGGUAAUCUGUGGAGGCGUAAACAGUAAACAUUCCCAUCUUAUCCUACAUCUGAUCAGGAUCAUGGAACAGUCUAGAACAAGACUGAAGACAAAGUGCUCACUCACCCAGACACGCUUUGUUUAUUUGGACCAUAAGGACAAUUUCUGAGAUGGGUGCUUCGGACUCCAGGCCAACUCUUUUCAGUAGACGUAAAAAAGACAAGGGGCUUUCGUGGAAUGGCCUGAAGAGAGCGCUGUUUAAAAAACAGAAGCGGAAAAAGAACGUUCUGCGCAAGCUGUCUAUCGGCAACAACCGGAAAGGAUCCCAGUCUCUCAAGAGAUUCUCGGUCCCAAACAUCAGGAAAAGUUCACAGCCUUCGAAGAGAUUCUCCCUUUUUGAACUUUAAGGACAUUUUGGUUGGAGGAGGCCAUUUUAUAAAUAAUCACUUGUAGGGAGUGUUAUGUUCAGAAUAGGUCUACAUCUUGUGCCAUGAUCCAAGCGGAGUAAGACCAAUCUGUUAAUUUAGGGACAGCCAAAAAUGUGGACGGACUUUUCAUUUUCUAAACGUUUAUUCUGUUUCCAGCAAAAAAGGCCAACGACUCUGAACUACUGAUUGGCUAUAGUUUAUCUUUUCCCAGAAUAACUGUAAAGCUUUUGUACUUGUGGGUACGAGUGGUAGGGUUCUAAAUGUAGCCUAGAAAGAAAUUAAUCUGAGCAUAGUGAACAAGCCUGCCCACCAACUGGUCACCAUGAUGUCCGGGAAGACUGGUUUUUGUUUCGACAUGUUGUGGGUUUGUCUGCCUCUGUAAACCAAUUUUAUUAUUUAACAUAUAUACAGCAAACAUUGUAGUGUCAUGAUUGAGGGUGUUUAUCUGUAUUCACACAGAGAGAAAGCGAGAGAGAAAAAGGGAGAGAAUUCAAAAGUUGGAAGAAUUUUAUAAGAAGUUUUAGAAGACACUUAUUUUAAUUGAAAUAAAACUUUCUAACCAUG